AAAUAAGUAACUAAUAGAUAAAUAAGGACUUCAACUAUUAGAUAAAAAUUAAUUUUAUGCGUAAUCUAAUAUUUUUUAUUUAACAUUGAUGGCGAAAGGACCUCCU